AGAGUUUGAUCCUGGCUCAGGAUGAACGCUAAGGCUUAACACAUGCAGUCGAACGGCAGCACGGGUGCUUGCACCUGGUGGCGAGUGGCGAACGGGUGAGUAAUAUAUCGGAACGUACCUUAUUGUGGGGGAUAACGCAGCGAAAGCUGUGCUAAUACCGCAUAAUCCCUAAGGGGGAAAGCGGGGGACCGUAAGGCCUCGCGCAAUUAGAGCGGCCGAUACCUGAUUAGCUAGUUGGUGAGGUAAAGGCUCACCAAGGCAACGAUCAGUAGCUGGUCUGAGAGGACGAUCAGCCACACUGGGACUGAGACACGGCCCAGACUCCUACGGGAGGCAGCAGUGGGGAAUUUUGGACAAUGGGGGCAACCCUGAUCCAGCAAUGCCGCGUGAGUGAAGAAGGCCUUCGGGUUGUAAAGCUCUUUUGUCAGGGAAGAAACAGCAGCUCUAACACAGUUUGCGAAUGACGGUACCUGAAGAAUAAGCACCGGCUAACUACGUGCCAGCAGCCGCGGUAAUACGUAGGGUGCAAGCGUUAAUCGGAAUUACUGGGCGUAAAGCGUGCGCAGGCGGUUAUGUAAGACAGGCGUGAAAUCCCCGGGCUUAACCUGGGAAUUGCGCUUGUGACUGCAUAGCUAGAGUAUGUCAGAGGGGGGUAGAAUUCCACGUGUAGCAGUGAAAUGCGUAGAGAUGUGGAGGAAUACCAAUGGCGAAGGCAGCCCCCUGGGAUAAUACUGACGCUCAUGCACGAAAGCGUGGGGAGCAAACAGGAUUAGAUACCCUGUAGUCCACGCCCUAAACGAUGCUGACUAGUUGUUCGGGAAUUUAUUCCUGAGUAACGUAGCUAACGCGUGAAGUCAGCCGCCUGGGGAGUACGGUCGCAAGAUUAAAACUCAAAGGAAUUGACGGGGACCCGCACAAGCGGUGGAUGAUGUGGACUAAUUCGAUGCACGCGAAAA
rnacentral:rRNA from 1 species